rnacentral:lncRNA from 10 species
GAGAAGACCCGAGGCCUCUGCUACGAACACUGGCAGCCGAUGGAAAAUUCAGACGGAUUUGGGACAGUAUGCAGAGUUCUCCAAGCGACAGAUUAACAGAGGCUCUUGAAGAAUAACUGCGUAAUCACGUGUUCUGCUCAAAAGAAGGCCUGAAUGCCCAGUGCCUUAUUUGGCUUUCAGGGGUCUUGCGGUGUCACCCAGGCUAGAGUACAGUGGUGCAAUCAUAGCUCACUGCUGCCUCAAACUCCUAGACUCAAGCAAUCCUCCUGCUUCAGCCUCCCGAGUAGCUGGGACUACAGUUUCCCCAUGUGUAUGCUGUGGUAUUGGAUCAGCAACGAGAUAAGAAGAUCUCUCCCAUUUCCAAGCGUCUAUGAUGAUUCUGAGGCACAAGGUCACAUUUGACAGUACUAGGAAACCCAGGAAACAAGAAGCAAAGAUGACAAAGGCUGUGUCUGCCUGGGCAGACGAUCUAUUUGGACAAGAUAAUAGACCCAGGCAUGGACAUGCUCUCCAAGAAAGAUGCCCUGACAGCUGCUCACACUGAAGCUGAAUCGAACAUUCCAAUCCUUAGAGGUUCCAGCGAAGAUCUUGAAGUCUCCCUGAGCCAUUGACACAAUGGCCAUGCCAUCCCAGUGAUAAAACACAAAUUGUGGCCUUGUUUUGGACAGAAAUAAAGAGCCCAGUUUGUUAGUGAUUUACUGAUAAUAACUGAAUCGAGUACUAAUACUUGGCGAUUUUAAAAGCCAUCAUGUUAAAAAGACCACCUGAUUCCCAGUGACCCUGCAGUGACUGGGUUUGGGCAGCUCGUCCCCUGCACCUGUUUGGGGCUGUGCCAGCCACUUCCAGUGAGAACAUCGCAUUAACUUGCGGUCGCAGACCUGGCUGGACCCCUUGAACCAAAUUCCUUUCUGACCUUAUCAGACCCCAAAUAAAAGAGCUCACCAGGCCCCUCAGCCUACGUGACCCACCUGCCCAGUGAAAAAAGUAGGGCCCUGUUCUGUUCUCUGAGGAUGGUCAGUGUGCUCUUUGAUGAAAACGGUUUCUAAGCUGAGGCCUGAGACCUAGAUCAUUGUUCUCACAGCGUGUGCUUGACCAGCCACACCAGAAGCACCCAGGCUGCUGGCUAAAAACACUGAUGCUGGGGCCCACCCUAGCCCCUGGGUAGGGGGUAGAGACCUAAGGUUUGGCAUUUUUACAAGCUCCUAGGGUGAUUCUUAGAUGCCCUGAUGAUUGAGAACCACUGCUCGAGCUUCUUAAAUGGCUGCUGAAGAAUGAUU